UACGUAGGCACCAAGCGUUGUUCGGAAUUACUGGGCGUAAAGCGAGUGUAGGCGGUUUGCCAAGGCGGUUGUGAAAUCUCCCGGCUUAACUGGGAGGGUGCGACUGAAACUGGCAGGCUGGAGUGCGGGAGAGGAGAGUGGAAUUCCUGGUGUAGCGGUGAAAUGCGUAGAUAUCAGGAGGAACACCGGUGGUGAAGACGGCUCUCUGGACCGCUACUGACGCUGAGACUCGAAAGCGUGGGGAGCAAACAGG
rnacentral:rRNA from 1 species